UGCCUAUGAAUAAUUUAAAUGGCCGCAGUAUUUUGACUGUGCAAAGGUAGCAUAAUCACUUGUCUCUUAAUUGGAGGCUGGAAUGAAGGAGGCGACGAAAUUUAAACUUUUGAGUUAUAAUGUGAAAUUGACAUAAAGAUCAAAAGGUCUUUAUUCAUCAAAGGGACGAUAAGACCCUAUAAAACUUUACUAUAAAGCAAAUUAUUUAGUUAAAUUUAAAGAUUUAUAGUUUAGCUGGGGCGGUUUAUAUAAAAACAAUUGAAAAAAUAAUAUAUUUAAUAAAGUUUGAGAACUCUUGUAGGAAAUAAAUAAGUUACUUUAGGGAUAACAGCAUAAUUCUCCCAGAGAGUCCUUAUUGGCGGGGGAGCUUAUGACCUCGAUGUUGAAUUGGGGAGUCUGGUGUAAGCAGAAAUACAUUAAGAUAGUCUGUUCGACUGUUAAACCCCC
rnacentral:rRNA from 1 species